UACGUAGGGGGCGAGCGUUGUCCGGAUUUAUUGGGCGUAAAGAGCGCGUAGGCGGCUUUGCAAGUCGGUUGUGAAAACUCGAGGCUCAACCUCGAGACGGCGGUGGAAACUGCAAAGCUAGAGUCCGGAAGGGGAGAGUGGAAUUCCUGGUGUAGCGGUGAAAUGCGCAGAUAUCAGGAAGAACACCCGUGGCGAAGGCGGCUCUCUGGGACGGUACUGACGCUGAGACGCGAAAGCGUGGGGAGCGAACAGG
rnacentral:rRNA from 1 species